rnacentral:lncRNA from 1 species
CGUCAGCCACCGCGCCCGGCCUAUAAUUUUUUUUUUUAACUCCUUCACUGUUGUUGGCAGAAUUUAGUUUCUUCCUGUUACAAGGAUUGAGGUCGCCAUUUCCUUGCUGGUAGUCACCUGAGGACUGUUCCCAGAUUCUAGAGACUGCCUGCAUACCUUGGCUUAUCACCUUCCACUGCCUGCAUACCUUGGCUUAUGCCCUUUCUCCUGCAUCUUCCAAGCCAGCAAUGGAAGAGGUAACCAUCCAUCACGGUUUUCCCAGAACAGGCUGAUUUGCGUCUUCUGUCCUGGCAUAAGGAUCCCUUCACUCUCGGAAGUGUUCCGGCAUUCAUAAUUAAUGGUGCAUAUAAGCAAGAAGUGACUCUAUAAUAAGAAAACCUUUGGAUCCAUUAACCUGGCAUCCAUUUCUAGGGAAGGUAUCACUGUGGUCCUGAAAGGAUAGCUCCAAGUCACCUGUCGACAUUCUUGAGUUUGCUUUGCGGAGAGAGGAAAAGACUAACAACAGAACUAAAGUAGAUCCACUGAAGACAUGAGUGAUAGACAAUCACUUCAGAACUUCACAUCGCCGUCCAAGAAAACAUCUAGCUGACAUUUCUUCAAAAAAAUUUAUGUACAGUAUAGUUGUCAAACUGAUUUUUCAAAAGCAACUCCUUUGCUUUUCAUUUUUCUCAAAGUAAAACCUCAGGGUAGCACAUUCCAAAGAAGAUACGAAAAAGUUUAUUAUUAUAUAUUUUUCCACCAUUAAAUCUAGGGGUAAUAUCAUCUGUAAAUAUAGUGGAGAAAGUCUGGAGACUUUUUAAAAGGAAUUGUAAAGAUGUUGAUAGGAGUUGGGGAGAGGAAUCCUUACCAAGCUCUCUACCUGACACUCCUUAUUCAAAGAAAAUUCUGCCCUAACGUAGCCCUGGCAGUCCAUUUGUGUCCAGGGAGCUCAGUCCCCCUCCACUCUCCAGUGUAUAAUUCCAGCAGUAAGGAAAAUUAAGACAAAGCAUUCUGUGCGAGGGAGGGCGGAAAGGUUAAGCAGCGUUGGGGUGCAGUGGAAACCAGAAAAGAAAGUGACCUCAUUUUGCCUGAGAAAGCACGAUCCAACAAGCCCACCUUUGAUGUGGAUUUCAGCAGCGAUAAAAGAGCACAAAGGGCGAAAGCCGGAGGGAGCAAACUUCCCUUAUUCUUCCCCCCGCCCCCUACCUCUCAAGACCACCAGGAACACGCACACGCGAGGACAACA